CGAGGGGAACGGUCGAAAGCCGGGAUCCAGCGUCCACGGAGCGGGGAGAUGAGGUAUCGGCGGCGCUGGGCCUCAGCCCGGCAGCCUCGGUCCCUGGUCCGAGUCCCCCCGCCCGCGCGGCUUGAGGAGACCAGGCGGCGCGCGCUGGUGCGGGCGGACCGCGGCCGUCGCGCCCCUGCCCUGUGGUUAAGUGGAGGCGCGCGCGGUGCUCUGCGUGCGGCGGGUGCGGGCAGCGCGGGAAGCAAGGACCGCGCCCGCCUCGCAGGGCCACCGGGAGGACUGCGCGAGGAGUGUGCGCGGCCCUUGGCCGGGACUCGGCACGUAGGGAACUGGUCCCUCCGCAGCGGCUGCCUUCCAGGUUCCGAUUUCCCCGCUCCCAGCCAGUAACUUCCCUGGGUGAGCGGGGCGCCGUGGGCUGUCGAGCACCCUCGGGAUGAUGACCCAGGGUCCCGGUGGACACCUCAUUUAAUCUCUACACCCAACGUGGAGCUCGAACUCAUGACCCUGAGAUCAAGAAUUACAUGCUCUUCUGACUGAGCCAGCCAGGCACCCUCAAGUUCCCUUUUUAAGCGCAUAAAAUUCACAUAUCUUUGGUAAAGAAUAACCCUAAUGACAUUGGAAUUGCCAUGAUUGAGACUAGGGGUUCACCAACUGUGGUUCAGGGACCCCUGGAGGCCGCCCAAGACCUUUCUUGGGGUCAGCAAAAGUCUGGCAGUUUGGAGGGCAUGGCUGCAGGCUGUCAGCAAAGGCAGCUAUUCUCAAGAAGGCAAUCCAGAGCCCUGGGGUCUGGAAGAUUGAGUUGAAUGUCACCAGACUGGAAGGUGUACCAGUUAACAAGGGAAGGAGGGAGAGAGGAGUGGUCCCACUGAGUCUGGGGAGAGGGUGAAAGGCUGUGUGCCAAGAUAGAGAAGCACCAGGCCUCAGCAGUUUGGAGCUACCAGAUGGCCACUGGAGCUGUCCUGCAGGUCACGUAUGUACCAGCCUGGUGGUGAGAAGCAGAAACCUUUGGAGAUGAGCUUGCUGGAGGGGACGUCCAGGCCCAGGCGGCAGAAGCCCGGAGGAUGUCAGUCACUCAGCACUUUCCUGGAGCAGGCAGCCUGGGAAUGCUCACCCCUCCCUGCUUCACCAGACUGCUCAGAGACAGAGACUGCGCUUUAUGGAACAGAAGCUCAGUGAGGACAAGCAUCUGUCCACUGCUGUGUCCCUAGCGCCUAGGUCGUGGCCACAGAGUAAGUACCUGUUAAGGGAAAUUUCAUUUUAUCCCACAAAAAUCUAUUUUUUUCUCCGGGUUCUUUCAUUUUCUGCGACUGCUUUGAGGGCCUCUCACCAAUCCCCCAAAAGUCACCACCUGCCCCUUUCGCCCUCCCUCCCCUUCCCCAUCUUUCCUUUAGAACCCAUAACAGCUCUGGGGAAGGGGGAGGGCUCUUUCCCCUACCCCUCUGUAUCUCUCCUCCUUUCUUUUGGCCUGGUUUUGUCCCUUCUCUUUUUGUUCUGCUCUACAGAACACGCGGGAAUGAGCCAGCAGUCUCUGAGAACCAGGCGUUAGAAGGUCUCAGUGAACAAAGGCAAGGUUUUCCUUAGCGGGAGGCACACAAGGGAGAGACGUCUGGGAACACUGGCCUGUCGCUGUGUCUCUCCCUGUUACACUGCGGCUGUCCGAGUUCAGUGUGCCUCACGGCAACUUCUACGGAAGUAGGUCCACCGUUGAUUUGCUGAAAAGCCAUGAUGGCCAUAGACCUCUAGGAUCUAGCAAGCUGGUGAACACUCGGUGCCUUAAUGGAAGGGCACAGAGACCUAGGACCGUCCUUGUUCAGGGGAAGAGCAUGCUCUGUCCGAUCCCGCAAAAAGGAGUCGCUCGGCUGCCCGCUGCUGACUGUGGGUCAGGGAGCGGAGACACGGCGGACCUGGUCACUGGCUACAUCCUAGACCAGCAAGCAGAGGACCCUGUUGGCUUCAGGGCACAUUCAACUGCAAGCGGUCUGGGGGACCACAUACAAAAAGUGAAUGCCUUCUUCCUUCAAAUGUCUUCUCAUUCCCCGAAACAAGUGACCCCUGGGGCCAGGGAGAUAGCAAGCUAGUGACUGCCAGGAAUAGCUAUUAACCAGACAUCCAGACGUGGUCCCUCUCUGCUGGUAGCUGAACCCAGAUGAGACUUCUGAGCCCACACUGGGGGGUUAUGGAGGGAGGGACCCUGGGCCUCUGGCCAGUGACGACUCCCCAGUAGCUAGUGAACCUGGACAGGCAAACCCCAACUUGGACCAACAACACCCCAAAAACCCAACAUAAACUUGCAUCUAAAGAAACGGGGUGGCUCGUGAUGAGGAGACGAGGCGGGGGGGUCCCACCCGCAGUGACUGGAUCUGGGGGCGCAAACCAGGUUGCCCCCCGCCUCACCUGCAGCCUUUGCUCCUUUACACAUGGGCCUCCUUCUCUCCAACCACGGUUGGCUUUCUGCACAGGGUGGGAAAGGGGGGAGCGGCCUGCUCGGUCCAUCCUCUCCAUGACCCCAAAGGCAGUCCCUUCAUCUUCAAACAGGAGCUCUCAGGAAGGACGCCAUUGGCUGGCUUUGCAUUCCUGAACCAAUCGUCGCGCGGAUUAACGCAGCCCUAGGAAGGGCUGGGGUCGCGUGACCAGGGGAUCAGGAUCGGAGGGGUGGAUGUUGCUGAACAGACACGAACAACAGACACCUUCUGUAAUCAUCACUGUGGUCAGCAGGCUCUCAGGAGACCCUCGAUGAUGCCCACCCCCUGGAAUUCACACCCUGGGGCCGUCCCUGCCACACGCCCCAUGUGGUGAAGAGCUCAGGUCUCCUGCCAACAGCCAGGUGAGGGCACCCCCUGGAGAGCCACCCUCCAGCACCAGGAAAGCUUCACCUGGACCGCACCCUUGGACAAGGAGGACAGAUGGGGAGCAGCUUGCCUGAAGCAGGAACUUGAGAGCCCAGGACCCCCACCAGCCAAGGAACAGCUGCAGGGGUGGGAGCAGCAGAGGUCCUCUCUGCUCCCUCCUUCCACACCCCCCACCAAGGGUCGCCUAGCUCACAAACACACCUGGUGUCGGAGUGGCAAUGCAGGAAUCUAGGACAUGGGACUGCAACCCGUUCACCGUGAGGUUGCCUCCGCCAGUUAAGGGAAGCCGCGUCCUGAUGGACACUGAGUGCACAGAGCCGAGGAAGGACAGUUGAGUAAACAGAGGUUAAGAGGGGGGGCACCUGGGAGCUCAGUCGGUUGAGCAUCCGAGUCUCAGGUCAUGGUCUCGUGGUUCGUGGGUUUGAGCCCCACGAGCCUGCUUGAGAUUUUGUCUCCCUUUCUCUCUCGGCCCCUCCC